GACGAACGCUGGCGGCGUGCUUAACACAUGCAAGUCGAACAGAAAGGCCCUGCUUUUGUGGGGUGCUCGAGUGGCGAACGGGUGAGUAACACGUGAGUAACCUGCCCUUGACUUUGGGAUAACUUCAGGAAACUGGGGCUAAUACCGGAUAGGAGCUCCUGCUGCAUGGUGGGGGUUGGAAAGUUUCGGCGGUUGGGGAUGGACUCGCGGCUUAUCAGCUUGUUGGUGGGGUAGUGGCUUACCAAGGCUUUGACGGGUAGCCGGCCUGAGAGGGUGAACGGCCACAUUGGGACUGAGAUACGGCCCAGACUCCUACGGGAGGCAGCAGUGGGGAAUAUUGCACAAUGGGCGGAAGCCUGAUGCAGCAACGCCGCGUGCGGGAUGACGGCCUUCGGGUUGUAAACCGCUUUCGCCUGUGACGAAGCGUGAGUGACGGUAAUGGGUAAAGAAGCACCGGCUAACUACGUG
rnacentral:rRNA from 1 species